rnacentral:lncRNA from 1 species
CGACUGGCCUUGAAGUUUGGCCUCAAGUGAUCCUCCUGCCUCAGCCUCCCAAAGUGCUAGGAUUACACAGCCCUCGCCCCUCGGGUCCCUUCUGCCCUUGUGGGAGUUGCCAGUCCUCCUAUCCUCCCAGUACAAAGCUGGCUUCCACUUCUGCGGGGGCUACCACAUCAGCGAGGACUGGGUGGUCACCGCUGCCCACCAGGGGUCAGGUGAGGCUUGAGCUUGAGGAGUUGGGGCCCACCAGGUGUCAGGGAAUGACACUCAUCCCCCUUCCCAACCCCAACUACACCCUGCAACCAACAGGAAAAGGGUCGGAAAUGAACUGCAGGCUGGGGAACCAGCACCCCCAUCCCCCGGCCACAGGCAGAGCCGCCUCUGCAGGUGACACCCACCCCAGGCCGUGCACCCCACCUCCACCCUCGCAGGCCACCCAGACGGCAGCUUGGGGAAACCUGGGAGGUCCCGUACCCUCACUGUGCAGGCACCCCCAUGAGCCCAGGCACCGCCUGCCACCCUCACUCUCCAGGAAGAGCCACCGCGUGGUGGCCGGGAUCGUGUGGUGGCCAGGGCGUCUGACCUUGGCUCUCACCCGGAGGCCAUCCAGGUGCUGAGGAUGGCUAACGCUAAGGCCACACAGCCAGGGAGAGGAGGUGGCUCGUGACACCACGAUGGGACACACCCACCUCUGGGAGAGGAG